GUCCCAGUAGCUUACAAUAAAGCAUGGCACUGAAGAUGCCAAGAUGGUUACUACACAUAACCCACGGACA
rnacentral:tRNA from 4 species